GCCUAGUUAGCUCGGAAGGUAGAGCGUCUGCCUUGUAAGCGCUAGGCCGCGGGUUCGAUUCCCGCCCGGAGCG
rnacentral:tRNA from 1 species